rnacentral:rRNA from 1 species
UACGAAGGGUGCAAGCGUUAUCCGGAUUCACUGGGUUUAAAGGGUCCGUAGGCGGCUUAAUAAGUCAUUGGUGAAAGCUCGCAGCUCAACUGCGAAACUGCCAUUGAAACUGUUUAGCUUGAAUGUGGUUGAAGUGGGCGGAAUACAACAUGUAGCGGUGAAAUGCUUAGAUAUGUUUUAGAACACCGAUUGCGAAGGCAGCUCACUAAGCCAAUAUUGACGCUGAGGCACGAAAGCGUGGGUAGCAAACAGG